UGUGUGAGGAGCUGGGAGCAAGAAGCUGAGAGGAUGUUCUGAUGGAUGUCUAAGGAGUGCAAGCGUUAUCAGAUGGUCCUGUGGCAAAACAGGAGAGGGCAACAAUUCACCCUCACAGGAUUGUCUUCGUCACGGACAUUAGAGGGAUGACCGUAUCUAACACAUCUGCAUUAAAAAUACAUCUGUUUCACAAACUGCAGGAGAGAAGCAGAUAAAGGUUUUAUGCAGGUGUAACUCCAGUAUGGCUCUUAAGACCAGAAAGCCCUGCAUCCUGUGGCUAUCAGAAGCAUCAUAUACUCCCCACAUGAAAUCAUAGUCCCAUUGACAUCAGUGGCACCAUUCCCAGUGACUUCAAUGGGAUAAUGAAGUUUUGUCCACACAUAAUCCAUUUCUCUGUAAGAAGUCAAUUCAGACUCUUGCGUGGGAUGCAAGUCAACAAGCAGAGCUAUGCAAAACUUUCACUGUACCUUCUAGCACAACUCCAUACGUUAGAUGCAAGAGGAUAUUCUGUUUGAAGUUUUAAAACACCACCACUGACUAACUACAAAAGAACCAGCUUGGAUCAAGAUCAAAGAUAGACGUGGUUUAAAAAAUAACAUAAAGCUAUUAUAAACCUCCAGGGCAGUGUAAGGAGGUAGAGCAGGAAAUGUUUGUACUGAUAAGGGAGUCCCUAAUGAAAGAGCAGAAACUUGAUCACUGUUGAAUGUUAUCUUGACAGUGUCUGGAAUAAGAACGGAGAAAUGAUCAAGAAAUAUGACAGGUUUCCAGAGAUACAGUCUUGCAAUGCUGUUUUCUUAGUUAAUCAACAAACAAGACACUGGAAAGAGGCAAUCGCAAAUUUAGUCCUUGGAGCUGAACCAGAUACAGGAAAUAGGAUACAAGUUUGGAAGUGUCUUAUGAGUGAUGAAAGCAGAUGAACAUAGGAAGAGUUAGGAAAUAUACUUCUGUAGAUAGAAGCAUUAAAAUGCUUAAGUUUAACAUUGCAGGCAUUAAGACAAUACAAAAUGAGCAGAAAAGUAAUAAUUGAAAUCGACUAAUGUUUGGAUUUGCUAUUAAACACCCAAUGGAUGUAACUGAAGAAUGGGAAGCUUUUAAAUAUAAUUCAAGGUCAUUACUGUAAAAAUUAUUAAAAUAAUACAGAGGGUUGGAUGUGAA